GCAUGAGUCUGAACUAGAGGGUAACACAGGAAGCAUUUGUCGCUCCCAUCCCAUCCCAAGCCCACGAAAAUA